rnacentral:rRNA from 1 species
UACAGAGGUCCCAAGCGUUGUUCGGAUUCACUGGGCGUAAAGGGUGCGUAGGCGGGUCUUUAAGUCAGAGGUGAAAGCCUGGAGCUCAACUCCAGAACUGCCUUUGAUACUGAGGAUCUCGAGUUCGGGAGAGGUGAGUGGAACUGCGAGUGUAGAGGUGAAAUUCGUAGAUAUUCGCAAGAACACCAGUGGCGAAGGCGACUCACUGGCCCGAUACUGACGCUGAGGCACGAAAGCGUGGGGAGCAAACAGG